rfam:TPA: Bos taurus chromosome 18, whole genome shotgun sequence.
UCCCUGGUGGUCCAGUGGCUAAGACUCCUUGCUUCAAAUGCAGUGGGCCUAGGUUCAAUCCCUGGUCAAGGAA